GACGUAGGGUGCGAGCGUUGUCCGGAAUUAUUGGGCGUAAAGAGCUCGUAGGCGGUGUGUCGCGUCGGCCGUGAAAACCUGCAGCUUAACUGUGGGCUUGCGGUCGAUACGGGCAUCACUGGAGUUCGGCAGGGGAGACUGGAAUUCCUGGUGUAGCGGUGAAAUGCGCAGAUAUCAGGAGGAACACCGGUGGCGAAGGCGGAUCUCUGGGCCAUUACUGACGCUGAGGAGCGAAAGCGUGGGGAGCGAACAGG
rnacentral:rRNA from 1 species